GCGUGCCUUUUGUAGAAUGAACCGGCGAGUUACGAUCUGAUGCAAGGUUAAGCAGCAAAUGCGGAGCCGCAGCGAAAGCGAGUCUGAAUAGGGCGUUGAGUAUUUGGUCGUAGACCCGAAACCAGGUGAUCUACCCUUGGUCAGGUUGAAAUUCAGGUAACACUGAAUGGAGGACCGAACCGACUUACGUUGAAAAGUGAGCGGAUGAACUGAGGGUAGCGGAGAAAUUCCAAUCGAAC
rnacentral:rRNA from 1 species